GACAGAGGGUGCAAACGUUGUUCGGAAUUACUGGGCGUAAAGCGUGUGUAGGCGGCCGUGCAAGUCGGAUGUGAAAGCCCUGGGCUCAACCCAGGAAGUGCACCCGAUACUGCUCGGCUCGAGUACCGGAGAGGUUGGUGGAAUUCUCGGUGUAGAGGUGAAAUUCGUAGAUAUCGAGAGGAACACCGGUGGCGAAGGCGGCCAACUGGACGGAUACUGACGCUGAGACACGAAAGCGUGGGGAGCAAACAGG
rnacentral:rRNA from 1 species